rnacentral:rRNA from 1 species
UACGGGGGGGGCAAGCGUUGUUCGGAAUUACUGGGCGUAAAGGGCUCGUAGGCGGCCAACUAAGUCGGACGUGAAAUCCCUCGGCUUAACCGGGGAACUGCGUCCGAUACUGGAUGGCUUGAGGUUGGGAGAGGGAUGCGGAAUUCCAGGUGUAGCGGUGAAAUGCGUAGAUAUCUGGAGGAACACCGGUGGCGAAGGCGGCAUCCUGGACCAAUUCUGACGCUGAGUGAGCGAAAGCCAGGGGAGCAAACGGGG